CGGGCUGACCUCUCCAAGAAGGUGAGACUUCUCUGGAGCCUACUUUGCUCUGAGAACAGAAGGAGGAAGAGGAGAAAAAUGGUUCUUUCAUUUCUAAAGGUGACACAGGAGUCAGUGAGAUUUAGAGAUGUGGUUGUGGUCUUUUCUUCAAGCCAGUGGGUUCACUUGAGCCUUCAAGAGAGAGAAUUGUAUAGGGAUGUGAUGCUGGAUACCUGCGACUACAU